rnacentral:rRNA from 1 species
UUAAAUAAAUUAUUCAAAAAAAUUAAAAAUUAAAAUUACUAAUAAAUUUUAAAUUAAAAUUAAAUUAAAAAUAAAAAAUUUAUUAAAUAAUAAAAAUAAUUCAUUAAAAAUUAAUUAAAAAUUACAUUUUGAUUUAAUAUCACAUCAAAAAAAAAAAAAAAAAAAUAUAAAAUAAAAAAAAUUAAUAAUAAAAAUAUAUAAACAAAUAAAUUAAUUAUUAUUAAAUGUGCAUUAUCAAAUAAAUCAAUAAAUUCCUCUAUAAUAACUAAUACCGCCAAAUAAUUUAAAUUUAAUAUUAAAAUAUUUAAUAAUUUAAAAAAAAUUUCUUUACUAGAGUAUCUAAUUCUAUUAAAUAAAUCAAUUUAAAAACUAUUUUUCAAAAAAAAAAAAUUCUAUAUAUCAACAAAAAAAAAAAAAAAUAAAAAAAAAACAUUCAAAAUAUUUAAAUUAUAAACUUAAAUAAUGUAUAACC